UACGGAGAGUGCAAACGUUGUUCGGAUUCACUGGGCGUAAAGGGCACGUAGGCGGCUCAGCAAAUCGGUCGUGGAAUCCCGACGCUUACCGUCGGAACGGCGGCCGAAAAUACUGGGCUUGAGGGCGUGAGGGGUCACUGGAACUCCUGGUGAAGCGGUGAAAUGCGUAGAUAUCAGGAGGAACGCCGGAGGCGAAAGCGAGUGACUGGCGCGUUCCUGACGCUGAGGUGCGAAAGCUAGGGGAGCAAACAGG
rnacentral:rRNA from 1 species